rnacentral:rRNA from 1 species
CCUACGGGUGGCAGCAGUGGGGAAUAUUGCACAAUGGGGGAAACCCUGAUGCAGCGACGCCGCGUGAGUGAAGAAGUAUUUCGGGAUGUAAAGCUCUAUCAGCAGGGAAGAAGAAAGACGGUACCUGACUAAGAAGCCCCGGCUAACUACGUGCCAGCAGCCGCGGUAAGACGGAGGGGGCAAGCGUUAUCCGGAUUUACGGGGUGUAAAGGGAGCGGAGACGGCUGUGCAAGUCUGAAGUGAAAGCCCAGGGCUCAACCCUGGGACUGCUUUGGAAACUGUGGAGCUAGAGUGCUGGAGAGGUUAGUGGACUUCCUCGUGUAGCUGUGCACUGCGUAGAUAUUAGGAGGAACCCCAGUGGCGACGGCGGCUUACUGGACAGUAACUGCCGUUGCGGCUCGAAAGCGUGGGGAGCAAACAGGAUUAGCUACCCUUGUAGUC